GAGUUUGAUCGUGGCUCAGAACGAACGCUGGCGGCAUGCCUAACACAUGCAAGUCGAACGGGAUCCUGGCUUCGGUCAGGUGAGAGUGGCGGACGGGUGAGUAACGCGUGGGAACCUGCCCAGUGGUGGGGGAUAACUGCGGGAAACUGCAGCUAAUACCGCAUGAGCCCGAGAGGGGAAAGAUUUAUCGCCAUUGGAGGGGCCCGCGUUCGAUUAGGUAGUUGGUGAGGUAAUGGCUCACCAAGCCGACGAUCGAUAGCUGGUCUGAGAGGAUGAUCAGCCACACUGGGACUGAGAUACGGCCCAGACUCCUACGGGAGGCAGCAGUGGGGAAUAUUGGACAAUGGGGGCAACCCUGAUCCAGCAAUGCCGCGUGAGUGAUGAAGGCCUUCGGGUUGU
rnacentral:rRNA from 1 species